GAAAGUUUGUUGUAUUUUUAACACGAUACUAUUAAAUUUAAAAUGUUUUAGAGAAAGCCUGAAUACAACUCAUGGAGAGGCUGAUAGAACCACAGUUCCUGAUGCAAUAAUACAAAAUCUCAAAGAGCAACUUGCAACAGUUUUUGCCAAUUACUCGUGGGCGUGCGUCAGACAAAGUCUUAAUCAGAGAGGCCUAGAUAGCAAGAAAAAACGAAAGUAAUCAGCAAUGCAAUUGUGAUUCUGUAAUAAUGAUAAUAUGUGAAAAAUUUAUUUUAUACAGAAUGAUUUUUUUUUAAUAAGAAAAUGUUAUUUCAA
rnacentral:lncRNA from 1 species